rnacentral:lncRNA from 11 species
UAAGUAAAUAAAUAAAUGAUGCAAGUAAAUAAAUAAAUAAAUAACCUCCUUAUUUCUGAUUUCCUUGCAGAAUUGCGACCAAUACGGCAAAGAAACUGCAAGAAAUAGAUGGAGUCGUAGUGGACGCCAUCGUCCUGGAAGCUCCUUAUACCAACAUCAGAGACGCCGCAGCCAAUAUCCCCUUCACCAGAAUCUACCGUAUGUUUCCUGGUUUUGAAUAUUUUGUCUUGGACACAAUGGCCAGAGCUGACAUGUACUUUCAAAAUGAUAAAAAGGCCAAUGGGUCAAGACUUCCGUUUCAACUGCGUGGACGGAACAUUCGUCAUGAACUGUGCAAUGUUGGGAGGUGCCUGCUAGCACUGAUAGCAGACUCCCGAACUGAGAGGACGUGCCAUGCUUUGCCCUUGCCAGGGAACAUGUGUCCUGAUAGCGAUGGUGUUUAGAGUUGUAUAUAGCUUGUAAAUAAAACUAUAGUACGCUGGGAUCAGCAGAAAAUUUACGACUGAGCUGUCGUUUUUGUCGGUGCCACUUUUGCUGGAUGCCUAAGUGGUCUGACUGGUGAGAAGAAGGUGAGAGACCUGGAACUGAGGCCUCCCUAUUAUCCAACAGUUUCGCUUAUCUGACAUUCUGCCCGCCCGUUUAUGUCGGAUAACUCAGACUCUACUGUAUACUACCUUCCUUCCUUAUUGCUGAUUUUUAUAUGCUUUUAAUGUUUUUACAAUAAACUGUUUGGAUAUAUUCCUGGAAACUUGUGUGGUGCAGUGGUCAUAGGGGUUUCCAGGCCUGGAGUGCAACACUAUCUAUCCAUCUUCCUUCUUUCGGUCUAUGUAUCUAGCCACUCAUCCAUUUAUGUAUGUAUCUAUCUGUCUGCCUGUCUGUCUGUCUCCCUUAUAAUUCCUCUCUCCCUACAUCCAUCCAUCUAUCCAUCUGCCUGGCUAAGUAUAUAUGUAGCUAUUGUAUGUAUCAUAUUUAUUUCUUACCUCUCAUCACCCCAGGACCCAUGUGGUGAUUCAUAAUAAUGAAUAAUGUUCAGUGAGUGGGUGUUAUCUUUGGAAGACAUGCAUAUAUGAUUAUUUAUGAUGAGGAUUAUGUUUAUUUAUACCCCGCUUUGUCUCCCCAAAGGGGAUGGAAACUGCAUGCCUUCCAGCAUUUCACAAAUGAAAACUGGCCCAAGUAUCCAAGCCAUAUUAAGGAGUGAACAAUUUGGCAACGAUUAUAAAGGAGGAAGAACGAAAAAAGUUGGGAACAACUACCACCAUUAACUUUUGCUAGAUCUUACUGGGAAGGGGGAAAACAUCUUGCUCCUCUUCUGCUGAAUUAACCAAAUUCAAACUACAGUAGAGUCUCACUUAUCCAAGCCUCGCUUAUCCAAGCCUCUGGAUAAUCCAAGCCAUUUUUGUAGUCA